AGACAGGUAGGUACUGUAGGUCAAGCCACCAGUAGACAGACAGGUAGGUAGGUACUGUAGGAAAAGCCACCAGUAGACAGAUAGGUAGGUACUGUAGGUCAAGCCUCCAGUAGACAGACAGGUAGGUACUGUAGGUCAAGCCACCAGUAGACAGACAGGUAGGUACUGUAGGUCAAGCCACCAGUAGACAGACAGGUAGGUACUGUAGGUCAAGCCACCAGUAGACAGACAGGUAGGUACUGUAGGUCAAGCCACCAGUAGACAGACAGGUAGGUACAGUAGGACAAGCCACCAGUAGACAGACAGGUAGGUACUGUAGGACAAGCCACCAGUAGACAGACAGGUAGGUACUGUAGGUCAAGCCACCAGUAGACAGACAGGUAGGUACAGUAGGACAAGCCACCAGUAGACAGACAGGUAGGUACUGUAGGUCAAGCCACCAGUAGACAGACAGGUAGGUACUGUAGGUCAAGCCACCAGUAGACAGACAGGUAUGUACUCUAGGUCAAGCCACCAGUAGACAGACAGGUAGGUGCUGUAGGUCAAGCCACCAGUAGACAGACAGGUAGGUACUGUAGGUCUAGCCACCAGUAGACAGACAGGUAGGUACUGUAGGUCAAGCCACCAGUAGACAGACAGGUAGGUACUGUAGGACAAGCCACCAGUAGACAGAUAGGUAGGUACUGUAGGUCAAGCCACCAGUAGACAGACAGGUAGGUACUGUAGGAAAAGCCACCAGUAGACAGACAGGUAGGUACACAGACAGGUAGGUACUGUAGGACAAGCCACCAGUAGACAGACAGGUAGGUACUGUAGGACAAGCCACCAGUAGACAAACAGGUAGGUACUGUAGGUCAAGCCACCAGUAGACAGACAUGUGGGUACAGUAGGACAAGCCACCAGAAGACAGACAGGUAGGUACUGUAGGUCAAGCCACCAGUAGACAGACAUGUAGGUACAGUAGGACAAGCCACCAGUAGACAGACAGGUAGGUAUUAUGAGGAAAAGCCACCAGUAGAUAGACAGGUAGAUACUGUAGGUCAAGCCACCAGUAGACAGACAGGUAGGUACAGUAGGUCAAGCCACCAGUAGACAGACAGGUAGGUACUGUAAGACAAGCCACCAGUAGACAGACAGGUAGGUACUGUAGGUCAAGCCACCAGUAGAAAGACAGGUAGGUACUGUAGGACAAGCCACCAGUAGACAGACAGGUAGGUACUGUAGGUCAAGCCACCAGUAGACAGACAGGUAGGUACUGUAGGUCAAGCCACCAGUAGACAGACAGGUAGGUACAGUAGGACAAGCCACCAGUAGACAGACAGGUAGGUACUGUAGGUCAAGCCACCAGUAGACAGACAGGUAGGUACUGUAGGUCAAGCCACCAGUAGACAGACAGGUAGGUACUGUAGGACAAGCCACCAGUAGACAGACAGGUAGGUACUGUAGGACAAGCCACCAGUAGACAGACAGGUAGGUACUGUAGGACAAGCCACCAGUAGACAGACAGGUAGGUACUGUACGUCAAGCCACCAGUAGACAGACAGGUAGGUACUGUACGUCAAGCCACCAGUAGACAGACAGGUAGGUACACAGACAGGUAGGUACUGUAGGACAAGCCACCAGUAGACAGACAGGUAGGUAAACAGACAGGUAGGUACUGUAGGACAAGCCACCAGUAGACAGACAGGUGGGUACACAGACAGGUAGGUACUGUAGGACAAGCCACCAGUAGACAGACAGGUAGGUACUGUAGGACAAGCCACCAGUAGACAGACAGGUAGGUACUGUAGGAAAAGCCACCAGUAGACAGACAGGUAGGUACACAGACAGGUAGGUACUGUAGGACAAGCCACCAGUAGACAGACAGGUAGGUACUGUAGGACAAGCCACCAGUAGACAGACAGGUAGGUACUGUAGGUCAAGCCACCAGUAGACAGACAGGUAGGUACUGUAGGACAAGCCACCAGUAGACACACAGGUAGGUACUGUAGGAAAAGCCACCAGUAGACAGAUAGGUAGGUACUGUAGGUCAAGCCACCAGUAGACAGACAGGUAGGUACUGUAGGAAAAGCCACCAGUAGACAGACAGUUAGGUACUGUAGGUCAAGCCACCAGUAGACAGACAGGUAGGUACUGUAGGACAAGCCACUAGUAGACAGACAGGUAGGUACAGUAGGUCAAGCCACCAGUAGACAGACAGGUAGGUACUGUAGGUCAAGCCACCAGUAGACAGACAGGUAGGUACUGUAGGUCAAGCCACCAGUAGACAGACAGGUAGGUACUCUAGGUCAAGCCACCAGUAGACAGACAGGUAGGUGCUGUAGGUCAAGCCACCAGUAGACAGACAGGUAGGUACUGUAGGUCUAGCCACCAGUAGACAGACAGGUAGGUACUGUAGGACAAGCCACCAGUAGACAGACAGGUAGGUACUGUAGGACAAGGCACCAGUAGACAGACAGGUAGGUACUGUAGGUCAAGCCACCAGUAGACAGACAGGUAGGUACUGUAGGACAAGCCACCAGUAGACAGACAGGUAGGUACACAGACAGGUAGGUACUGUAGGACAAGCCACCAGUAGACAGACAGGUAGGUACUGUAGGACAAGCCACCAGUAGACAGACAGGUAGGUACUGUAGGUCAAGCCACCAGUAGACAGACAGGUAGGUACUGUAGAACAAGCCACCAGUAGACACACAGGUAGGUACUGUAGGAAAAGCCACCAGUAGACAGAUAGGUAGGUACUGUAGGUCAAGCCACCAGUAGACAGACAGGUAGGUACUGUAGGAAAAGCCACCAGUAGACAGACAGGUAGGUACGGUAGGUCAAGCCACCAGUAGACAGACAGGUAGGUACUGUAGGACAAGCCACUAGUAGACAGACAGGUAGGUACAGUAGGUCAAGCCACCAGUAGACAGACAGGUAGGUACUGUAGGUCAAGCCACCAGUAGACAGACAGGUAGGUACUGUAGGACAAGCCACCAGUAGACAGACAGGUAGGUACUGUAGGACAAGCCACCAGUAGACAAACAGGUAGGUACUGUAGGUCAAGCCACCAGUAGACAGACAUGUGGGUACAGUAGGACAAGCCACCAGAAGACAGACAGGUAGGUACUGUAGGUCAAGCCACCAGUAGACAGACAUGUAGGUACAGUAGGACAAGCCACCAGUAGACAGACAGGUAGGUAUUAUGAGGAAAAGCCACCAGUAGAUAGACAGGUAGAUACUGUAGGUCAAGCCACCAGUAGACAGACAGGUAGGUACAGUAGGUCAAGCCACCAGUAGACAGACAGGUAGGUACUGUAAGACAAGCCACCAGUAGACAGACAGGUAGGUACUGUAGGUCAAGCCACCAGUAGAAAGACAGGUAGGUACUGUAGGACAAGCCACCAGUAGACAGACAGGUAGGUACUGUAGGUCAAGCCACCAGUAGACAGACAGGUAGGUACUGUAGGUCAAGCCACCAGUAGACAGACAGGUAGGUACAGUAGGACAAGCCACCAGUAGACAGACAGGUAGGUACUGUAGGUCAAGCCACCAGUAGACAGACAGGUAGGUACUGUAGGUCAAGCCACCAGUAGACAGACAGGUAGGUACUGUAGGACAAGCCACCAGUAGACAGACAGGUAGGUACUGUAGGACAAGCCACCAGUAGACAGACAGGUAGGUACUGUAGGACAAGCCACCAGUAGACAGACAGGUAGGUACUGUACGUCAAGCCACCAGUAGACAGACAGGUAGGUACUGUACGUCAAGCCACCAGUAGACAGACAGGUAGGUACACAGACAGGUAGGUACUGUAGGACAAGCCACCAGUAGACAGACAGGUAGGUAAACAGACAGGUAGGUACUGUAGGACAAGCCACCAGUAGACAGACAGGUAGGUACACAGACAGGUAGGUACUGUAGGACAAGCCACCAGUAGACAGACAGGUAGGUACUGUAGGACAAGCCACCAGUAGACAGACAGGUAGGUACUGUAGGAAAAGCCACCAGUAGACAGACAGGUAGGUACACAGACAGGUAGGUACUGUAGGACAAGCCACCAGUAGACAGACAGGUAGGUACUGUAGGACAAGCCACCAGUAGACAGACAGGUAGGUACUGUAGGUCAAGCCACCAGUAGACAGACAGGUAGGUACUGUAGGACAAGCCACCAGUAGACACACAGGUAGGUACUGUAGGAAAAGCCACCAGUAGACAGAUAGGUAGGUACUGUAGGUCAAGCCACCAGUAGACAGACAGGUAGGUACUGUAGGAAAAGCCACCAGUAGACAGACAGUUAGGUACUGUAGGUCAAGCCACCAGUAGACAGACAGGUAGGUACUGUAGGACAAGCCACUAGUAGACAGACAGGUAGGUACAGUAGGUCAAGCCACCAGUAGACAGACAGGUAGGUACUGUAGGUCAAGCCACCAGUAGACAGACAGGUAGGUACUGUAGGUCAAGCCACCAGUAGACAGACAGGUAGGUACUGUAGGACAAGCCACCAGUAGACAGAUAGGUAGGUACUGUAGGUCAAGCCACCAGUAGACAGACAGGUAGGUACUGUAGGACAAGCCACCAGUAGACAGACAGGUAGGUACACAGACAGGUAGGUACUGUAGGACAAGCCACCAGUAGACAGACAGGUAGGUACACAGACAGGUAGGUACUGUAGGACAAGCCACCAGUAGACAGACAGGUAGGUACACAGACAGGUAGGUACUGUAGGACAAGCCACCAGUAGACAGACAGGUAGGUACUGUAGGACAAGCCACCAGUAGACAGACAGGUAGGUACUGUAGGUCAAGCCACCAGUAGACAGACAGGUAGGUACUGUAGGACAAGCCACCAGUAGACAGACAGGUAGGUACACAGACAGGUAGGUACUGUAGGACAAGCCACCAGUAGACAGACAGGUAGGUACUGUAGGACAAGCCACCAGUAGACAGACAGGUAGGUACUGUAGGUCAAGCCACCAGUAGACAGACAGGUAGGUACUGUAGAACAAGCCACCAGUAGACACACAGGUAGGUACUGUAGGAAAAGCCACCAGUAGACAGAUAGGUAGGUACUGUAGGUCAAGCCACCAGUAGACAGACAGGUAGGUACUGUAGGAAAAGCCACCAGUAGACAGACAGGUAGGUACACAGACAGGUAGGUACUGUAGGACAAGCCACCAGUAGACAGACAGGUAGGUACACAGACAGGUAGGUACUGUAGGACAAGCCACCAGUAGACAGACAGGUAGGUACACAGACAGGUAGGUACUGUAGGACAAGCCACCAGUAGACAGACAGGUAGGUACUGUAGGACAAGCCACCAGUAGACAGACAGGUAGGUACUGUAGGUCAAGCCACCAGUAGACAGACAGGUAGGUACUGUAGGACAAGCCACCAGUAGACAGACAGGUAGGUACACAGACAGGUAGGUACUGUAGGACAAGCCACCAGUAGACAGACAGGUAGGUACUGUAGGACAAGCCACCAGUAGACAGACAGGUAGGUACUGUAGGUCAAGCCACCAGUAGACAGACAGGUAGGUACUGUAGAACAAGCCACCAGUAGACACACAGGUAGGUACUGUAGGAAAAGCCACCAGUAGACAGAUAGGUAGGUACUGUAGGUCAAGCCACCAGUAGACAGACAGGUAGGUACUGUAGGAAAAGCCACCAGUAGACAGACAGGUAGGUACGGUAGGUCAAGCCACCAGUAGACAGACAGGUAGGUACUGUAGGACAAGCCACUAGUAGACAGACAGGUAGGUACAGUAGGUCAAGCCACCAGUAGACAGACAGGUAGGUACUGUAGGACAAGCCACCAGUAGACAGACAGGUAGGUACUGUAGGUCAAGCCACCAGUAGACAGACAUGUAGGUACAGUAGGACAAGCCACCAGAAGACAGACAGGUAGGUACUGUAGGUCAAGCCACCAGUAGACAGACAGGUAGGUACUGUAGGUCAAGCCACCAGUAGACAGACAGGUAGGUAUUAUGAGGAAAAGCCACCAGUAGAUAGACAGGUAGAUACUGUAGGUCAAGCCACCAGUAGACAGACAGGUAGGUACUGUAGGUCAAGCCACCAGUAGACAGACAGGUAGGUACUGUAGAACAAGCCACCAGUAGACACACAGGUAGGUACUGUAGGAAAAGCCACCAGUAGACAGAUAGGUAGGUACUGUAGGUCAAGCCACCAGUAGACAGACAGGUAGGUACUGUAGGAAAAGCCACCAGUAGACAGACAGGUAGGUACGGUAGGUCAAGCCACCAGUAGACAGACAGGUAGGUACUGUAGGACAAGCCACUAGUAGACAGACAGGUAGGUACAGUAGGUCAAGCCACCAGUAGACAGACAGGUAGGUACUGUAGGUCAAGCCACCAGUAGACAGACAGGUAGGUACUCUAGGUCAAUCCACCAGUAGACAGACAGGUAGGUACUGUACGUCAAGCCACCAGUAGACAGACAGGUAGGUACACAGACAGGUAGGUACUGUAGGACAAGCCACCAGUAGACAGACAGGUAGGUAAACAGACAGGUAGGUACUGUAGGACAAGCCACCAGUAGACAGACAGGUAGGUACACAGACAGGUAGGUACUGUAGGACAAGCCACCAGUAGACAGACAGGUAGGUACUGUAGGACAAGCAACCAGUAGACAGACAGGUAGGUACUGUAGGUCAAGCCACCAGUAGACAGACAGGUAGGUACUGUAGGACAAGCCACCAGUAGACAGACAGGUAGGUACACAGACAGGUAGGUACUGUAGGACAAGCCACCAGUAGACAGACAGGUAGGUACUGUAGGACAAGCCACCAGUAGACAGACAGGUAGGUACUGUAGGUCAAGCCACCAGUAGACAGACAGGUAGGUACUGUAGAACAAGCCACCAGUAGACACACAGGUAGGUACUGUAGGAAAAGCCACCAGUAGACAGAUAGGUAGGUACUGUAGGUCAAGCCACCAGUAGACAGACAGGUAGGUACUGUAGGAAAAGCCACCAGUAGACAGACAGGUAGGUACGGUAGGUCAAGCCACCAGUAGACAGACAGGUAGGUACUGUAGGACAAGCCACUAGUAGACAGACAGGUAGGUACAGUAGGUCAAGCCACCAGUAGACAGACAGGUAGGUACUGUAGGUCAAGCCACCAGUAGACAGACAGGUAGGUACUGUAGGACAAGCCACCAGUAGACA